GAUUUCUGGUUUAAUGCACCUGGCCCGCGGCCACUAGGCUUGUGAGUGCCGGCGCGCGUUUACCAUCCUUCUAGAAAACGUUUCUGCCAUUAACUUGGUUGGGAAUGCGAUCUAGAUCUUUUACUUUGAAAAAAUUACAGUGUUUAAAGCAGGCUUUUGCUAUGAAUACAUUAGCAUGGAAUAAUAAUCUAGGACUUCGGUUCUAUUUUGUUGGUUUCUAUACCUGAAGUAAUGAUUGAUAGGGAUAGGUGAAAUUCUUGGAUUCGGUCAAGAAUAACUUAUGCGAAAGCAUU
rnacentral:rRNA from 1 species